GACUCAGUCCUCCUUUGAGGGCGGGAGCCGGCAGUGCAGCCGCAGUUCCCAGCUUGGGGCGGAGACCUGGACGCGUCCUAGGACGAGACCAGCAGGGAGUUGGACUGGCCUUGCUGAACUCAAGCCUCUCUCCUUCCAGGACCCCGCUGCAGUUCCGGACUUGGACACUAGGAGAUUGGGUUUCCUGUGAGGAAGACCAGAGGUAAAAAUGCCAUUGCAUCACAUCAUAUCAAGGGUACCUGCUAUUAACUGGACCUUAAUCUUGAUCACCAGCACUGAGAUGGAUCAAGUGAUUUCUCAGGAAUCACUGGAGGAAGAGAGGCGG